CGCGCAGGCGGCUUGGCAAGUCGGGUGUGAAAUCCCGGGGCUCAACCCCGUGACUGCAUCCGAUACUGUCAGGCUAGAGGUAGGUAGGGGAGAUCGGAAUUCCUGGUGUAGCGGUGAAAUGCGCAGAUAUCAGGAGGAACACCGGUGGCGAAGGCGGAUCUCUGGGCCUUACCUGACGCUCAGGCGCGAAAGCUAGGGGAGCGAACA
rnacentral:rRNA from 1 species